UAAAUAAAGCCUCGUGGACAGAGGUUAGGGUGGUCUUAGAUAUUAAUAUAACUAAAUUACUUUCGCUAUAUCUACGGACUGCCUUUUGGUUUUGUCUGCGUGUUUAGUGCAAUGUUGAAGUCCACGUGCUUUAAAGGAAAGGGAGCUGAAACCAUCAAUCAACAGUGCUUUUCCUGAUCAUGAAUGGGGUUGAAAGUCCUCUACACAGGCAAGGAAACUGAGGUCCUCGACCAGCAUGCAUCCCAAAACAUGAAGUUCAAACCCUGCAGAGCACAGGGGCUGAUAACCUAAACUUUCCUAAAGCCGUGUUUCUUGGUAAGAAAUAUGACGUGGGGACUCCUGUAGUGCAAAGUGAUUGAUGUAGAUGUGCAAUACUGAAUCUGGGGGAAGCCUGAGGAAUUUAUGAAAAAAGGUGAAGUGAAGCUGUAUCCUGAACUAUAACCCUGCCAAGGAAGCUCUCCAGUAGCAUCUUCUAACCCUACUUCAAAGCAAUCCCUUCAUCUUUUGCUGCUGCUUUUCUACAGCUGGAGUGCAGUAUCCAAAUCCGUUUAAGAUGUUUGGGGACUUGUGGUGCAUAACCUUCUGGUGGUGUUCAAGAAGCCAUGUAGGGACAUGGUCAUUAGUUUAACAAGCAACACCGCUUAUGUAUGAUUCUAUGGCAACUUGAAAUAAAAAUUAGUUAUAGAUGAAA